GAUGAACGCUGGCGGCGUGCCUAAUACAUGCAAGUCGAACGCACAGCGAAAGGUGCUUGCACCUUUCACGUGAGUGGCGAACGGGUGAGUAACACGUGGACAACCUGCCUCAAGGCUGGGGAUAACAUUUGGAAACAGAUGCUAAUACCGAAUAAAACUUAGUGUCGCAUGACACAAAGUUAAAAGGCGCUUCGGCGUCACCUAGAGAUGGAUCCGCGGUGCAUUAGUUAGUUGGUGGGGUAAAGGCCUACCAAGACAAUGAUGCAUAGCCGAGUUGAGAGACUGAUCGGCCACAUUGGGACUGAGACACGGCCCAAACUCCUACGGGAGGCUGCAGUAGGGAAUCUUCCACAAUGGGCGAAAGCCUGAUAGAGCAACGCCGCGUGUGUGAUGAAGGCUUUCGGGUCGUAAAGCACUGUUGUAUGGGAAGAACAGCUAGAAUAGGAAAUGAUUUUAGUUUGACGGUACCAGACCAGAAAGGGACGGCUAAAUACGUG
rnacentral:rRNA from 1 species